rnacentral:rRNA from 1 species
UACGUAGGGUGCAAGCGUUGUCCGGAAUUAUUGGGCGUAAAGAGCUCGUAGGCGGUCUGUCGCGUCUGCUGUGAAAACCCGAGGCUCAACCUCGGGCCUGCAGUGGGUACGGGCAGACUAGAGUGCGGUAGGGGAGAAUGGAAUUCCUGGUGUAGCGGUGGAAUGCGCAGAUAUCAGGAGGAACACCGAUGGCGAAGGCAGGUCUCUGGGCCACUACUGACGGCUGAGAAGCGAAAGCAUGGGGAGCGAACAGG